rnacentral:rRNA from 1 species
GUUUGAUCCUGGCUCAGAUUGAACGCUGGCGGCAUGCUUUACACAUGCUAGUCGAACGGCAGCACGGGGGCAACCCUGGUGGCGAGUGGCGAACGGGUGAAUAAUGCAUCGGAACGUGUCCUGUAAUGGGGGAUAACCUAUCGAAAGGUAGGCUAAUACCGCAUACGUCCUGAGGGAGAAAGCGGGGGAUCGCUAGACCUCGUGUUAUAGGAGCGGCCGAUGUCAGAUUAGCUAGUUGGUGGGGUAAAGGCCUACCAAGGCGUACGAUCCGUAACGGGUCUGAGAGGACGGCCCGCCACACUGGGACUGAGACACGGCCCAGACUCCUACGGGAGGCAGCAGUUGGGGAAUUUUGGACAAUGGGGGCAACCCUGAUCCAGCCAUGCCGCGUGAGUGAAGAAUGCCUUCGGGUUGUAAAGCUCUUUCCGCCGGGUAAGAAAUCGCGCCAGCUAAUACCUGGUUGUGGGAUGACAGUAACCGGAAGAAGAAACACCCGGCUAACUUACGUGCCAACAACCGCGGCUAAUACCUAGGGUGCGAAGCGUUAAUCGGAAUUACUGGGGCGUAAAGCGUGCGCAGGCGGCUCUAUAAGACAGAUGUGAAAUCCCCGGGCUUAACCUGGGAACUGCGUUUGUGACUGUAGGCUUGAGUGCGGCAGAGGGGGGUGGAAUUCCACGUGUAGCAGUGAAAUGCGUAGAGAUGUGGAGGAACACCGAUGGCGAAGGCAGCCCCCUGGGUCGACACUGACGCUCAUGCACGAAAGCGUGGGGAGCAAACAGGAUUNGAUACCCUGGUAGUCCACGCCCUAAACGAUGCGAACUAGGUGUUGGGGAAGGAGACUUCUUUAGUACCGUAGCUAACGCGUGAAGUUCGCCGCCUGGGGAGUACGGUCGCAAGAUUAAAACUCAAAGGAAUUGACGGGGACCCGCACAAGCGGUGGAUGAUGUGGAUUAAUUCGAUGCAACGCGAAAAACCUUACCUACCCUUGACAUGCCCGGAACCCUGCUGAGAGGUGGGGGUGCCCCGAAAGGGAAUCGGGACACAGGUGCUGCAUGGCUGUCGUCAGCUUCGUGUUCGUGAGAUGUUAGGGUUAAGUCCCCGCAACGAGCGCAAACCCUUGUCACUAAUUGCCCAUCAUUUGGUUGGGCACUUUAGUGAGACUGCCGGUGACAAACCGGAGGAAGGUGGGGAUGACGUCAAGUCCUCAUGGCCCUUAUGGGUAGGGCUUCACACGUCAUACAAUGGUCGGUACAGAGGGUUGCCAAGCCGCGAGGUGGAGCCAAUCCCAGAAAGCCGAUCGUAGUCCGGAUCGGAGUCUGCAACUCGACUCCGUGAAGUCGGAAUCGCUAGUAAUCGCGGAUCAGCAUGCCGCGGUGAAUACGUUCCCGGGUCUUGUACACACCGCCCGUCACACCAUGGGAGCGGGUUCUACCAGAAGCAGUUAGCCUAACCGCAAGGGGGUUUUUGCCACGGUAGGAUUCGUGACUGGGGUGAAGUCGUAACAAGGUAACC